AUGGCUCGGCGCCUCCACCUCCCGGCGAUGCAUCCGACCUCCCCGCGCGAAAAUAAACACACGGGGACGUGCUGCCCUCAGUCCUCUGUCGACGGAUCCAGCAGUGCAGGUUCUCCGGUGCGUGAAGUAUUGCCGGCGUCAUGCCCAUUGAGAAGAUGCAGAUUUUCUUUCUGGUUCUCUAGAUUGGUCUUGAUAAAGCUUUCAUACAGGAUGCAGCUUAAGCUGGAGUUCGUCGCUAAGCAGGAAACAUGGCUAUCAAUUAUCUUGUAUACAGAAGGUUUGGGACUGGAUCUUGUAAUGAAAGCUGGAGCAGAAGAAGUCCAGGAGGGAGAGCAGUUCGGCUUCCACGGCGCUGCCGACGUGCUCCCCUCGGCUUCCUGCAGUUCGAGGACGGACACCCCAGGUUCUCAAGCAGCAAAGUUAUCGCACAAAGUUGAACUUGCUGCUGCACCAUCUUCACCAAGUCAAACUUGCAACAGCCAGGGGAUCCACAGUCGUUGGGAGCUGUCCAAGUCCAGCUAUGACCGCAGUCCAAGUGGAACUGCGACCACCAUCUUCACCCAGUGCUGCACCCAUUGA
rnacentral:rRNA from 1 species